rnacentral:rRNA from 1 species
GAUGAACGCUGGCGGCGUGCCUAAUACAUGCAAGUCGAGCGAACAGACGAUGCGCUUGCUCCUCUGACGUUAGCGGCGGACGUGUGUGUCACACGUGUAUCACCUACCUAUCAGACUGGUAUAACUUCGGGACACCGGCUCUUAUACCGGAUAAUCUCUUGAACCACAUGGUUCAAUAGUAAAAUACGGUUUUUCUGUCUCUUCUCGCUGCAUCCGGGCCGCAUUAGAUAGUUGUUACUGUAAAGGCUUACCACGGCGAGGAUGCGUAGACGACCUAAGAGGGGGGUAGGCCACACGGGAGGGGGGCCAGGGUCAAGACUACUACGGGAGGCAGCAGUAGGGAAUCGUACGCAAUGGGCGAAAGCAUGACGGAGCAAGGCCGAGUGAGUGAUGAAGGUCUUCGGAGCGUAAAAAUCGGUUAUGAGGGAAGAACAAAUGUGGAAGUAAAUAUGCACGGAGUGACGGUAACUAAUAAGAAAGCAACGGCUAACUACGUG